CUUGCACAGAGCGCUUGCCGAAGCUCUGCUGAUGGGCACUGAUCACGUCUGGCAUAGACAGUUUGAAGAGGUCCAUUCCUUCAUGAUUGCAACAGAACCGGGAGAGAAACAAACGAGGAUGGUUAAACAGUUUCAGUCGACACAUAUCGCCUGAAAUUAAAGAAACGAGGUUCAAAAUUAACACAACAACUCGACGCAAUCCUGAUCAAUUAUCACUCAUACGGGCUUUUGCGGAAAUAACACGUUCUUGAUUUGUAAAUCACCAUGUGAAGAGCAGCUGGAAGAGUUUUGGUCUCUUGUUGAGGAGCAGCACGUGAUCACCGUCAUUAUGCUUACCUCUACUUGAAGUCGACUAAAAAAGAAACACUCCCGCCAAUGCAAAACAUGUUGGACUGCCUCAAUGCUGUGAGAAAGAAGCAGCCGCACCUAGCCGAAAACAGACCUGAUUUGAUUCACUGCGAGACGAGCCAUGAGCGAAGCGGACUUAUCGCAGUACUUCUAAAUGAGCUCCAUCGCAUGGAAAAGACACGAGGUCAGAUAAACAUCGUAGAGACUGCGAAGACAAUGAAACAGAGAAACAGGGACAUCAUACCCAAUACUGUCCAAUAUAAGUUCAUUUACGAUUCAGCUUUGGAACAUGUCAAGAACUCAUCUGAAUAUGAGAACAUCAAAAGUGCUUGAAUAUGACCAUGAUCCUGGUACUGUGGUGGGGUGUGCUUAAAUAAUAAUUUAGGCUGUAUAAGCAGUGAAAGUGCAUAACAAGACAGCCCAUUUUUAAUUGUUUAGCUUUGAAACGAGUGUGUGCUGUUGUUGUUGUUUUUUAUCAUUAAUCAGGUUUUAUUCUAUUGCAAAGUGUUUCAUGAUUUUAAAAAUAGUAUUAUGCAAAUCCAAAUGCUGGAAAUAAGACAUAAAGCAUAAAUGUUUUUUGUGUGUAAUCGUGACGUAUUGUAUUUUUGUUUAUUUGUGCGUUUGAUUGCUAGCAUAGAAAUAUGUUUGGUGAUCAUUUAGUGGAGUCAAGGAAACCGUAAACGUGUCUUGUUUAUAGACACGCAAAUGUGUAAUACGUGUAUAUGUGUUAUACUCAUAAUGUAUAUUGCAUAUAGUUUGUAGCUAACUACACAUGCAACAUAGCAUCAUAUAUAGGUGUACGUUAUUUGGUAUACCAUAAAUAUACCACU